rnacentral:rRNA from 1 species
CCCUUAGAUGUCCUGGGCCGCACGCGCGUUACACUGAUGCAUUCAACGAGCAUAUAACCUUGGCCAAGAGGCCUGGGUAAUCUUGUUAACAUGCAUCGUGAUAGGGAUAGAUUAUUGCAAUUAUUAAUCUUGAACGAGGAAUUCCUAGUAAUCGCAGUUCAUCAAACUGCAAUGAUUACGUCCCUGCCCUUUGUACACACCGCCCGUCGCACCUACCGAUUGAAUGGUCCGGUGAGGACUCGGGAUUGUGGUUUAGCUCCUUCAUUGGGGCCUGACUGCGAGAACUUGUCCGAACCUUAUCAUUUAGAGGAAGGUGAAGUCGUAACA